rnacentral:rRNA from 1 species
GACGAACCACACAAACGUUAUUCGGAAUUACUGGGCUUAAAGGGUGCGUAGGCGGCGCGGAAAGUCGGGUGUGAAAUCCCGCGGCUCAACCGAGGAAUUGCGCCCUAAACUACCGUGCUCGAGGGAGAUAGAGGUGAGCGGAACUUAGGGUGGAGCGGUGAAAUGCGUUGAUAUCCUAAGGAACACCGGUGGCGAAAGCGGCUCACUGGAUCGCUUCUGACGCUGAGGCGCGAAAGCCAGGGGAGCAAACGGG